UACGUAGGGGGCAAGCGUUGUCCGGAUUUAUUGGGCGUAAAGAGCGUGUAGGCGGCUUUACAGGUCCGUUGUGAAAACUCGAGGCUCAACCUCGAGACGCCGGUGGAAACCGUAAAGCUAGAGUCCGGAAGAGGAGAGUGGAAUUCCUGGUGUAGCGGUGAAAUGCGCAGAUAUCAGGAGGAACACCCGUGGCGAAAGCGGCUCUCUGGGACGGUCCUGACGCUGAGACGCGAAAGCGUGGGGAGCAAACAGG
rnacentral:rRNA from 1 species